rnacentral:rRNA from 1 species
AUUGAACGCUGGCGGCAUGCCUUACACAUGCAAGUCGAACGGCAGCACGGGAGCAAUCCUGGUGGCGAGUGGCGAACGGGUGAGUAAUAUAUCGGAACGUGCCCAGUCGUGGGGGAUAACGUAGCGAAAGCUACGCUAAUACCGCAUACGAUCUAUGGAUGAAAGCGGGGGAUCGCAAGACCUCGCGCGAUUGGAGCGGCCGAUAUCAGAUUAGGUAGUUGGUGGGGUAAGGCUCACCAAGCCAACGAUCUGUAGCUGGUCUGAGAGGACGACAGCCACACUGGAACUGAGACACGGUCCAGACUCCUACGGGAGGCAGCAGU